rnacentral:tRNA from 1 species
AGAGUAACGCCAUGGUAAGGCGUAAGUCAUCGGUUCAAGUCCGAUAAAGGGCU